UAGACCACGGAGGCGUUGAUAUAACUUGUAAACCAGAUAAAGUUUUGAAUAAGCUAAAGCAAAUCUAAAGCAAAUAAAAAUCUAUUAAACAUUCGCUUUGAUGGGCAUAAUAAUAAUUACGUACUUAAUUUUUUUUAAAUCAUUUCCAGCGCGCUGGAAAUAACUGGAGGACUUGCAAAUUGUAGUAUACUUAGUAGCACUUUUAUUAAUAUUACAUAAUACAUUGUUUAAUAUUAUCAAGCAUAUUAAAAAUCUUAUUUAAAUCAAAACGUGUUUAAUCAAAUGUAUAGAAAGAUAAGCACUAAGUAUACAAUGAUAUCUUGCUUAAUGACAGUGCUAUAGCAAUCGUUGUAGAAGGAACAUUCAGGAAAUGAAAGUUGACGAUGGGUUCUUUACUGCAGUUAAUUUAUUUUUGUAUCAUUUUACUCGUACUCUUGAUUUCAGUAUCGUGCAGCAUCGAGAGUAAAAUGAAGAGCGACUUGAAAAAAUUAUCAAGAGAUAUAAAAAAAUCACAGAAACUAUGUGAUAAGAAUUUACUGGGUUUGAAUAAAAAAAUAAAAAUCCCUUCGCUUGCAGGGAGUAAAUUAUCAAAUUUUGAAACAAAAAUCAAUUUGUACAAGCUUGACGCAAAGUUGAAGAAUCCUCUAAAGAAAUUGAAAGCUCCCUCUUUACUGGGGUUACCAAAAUUACCAAUUCUACCUUUACUUCCGUUACCUUUGCUACCUCUACCAUUAAUACCACCGCUAUCUUUAAUUCCACCGCCAUUAUUACCUUUGCCUCGAUCGUCUCUAUUACCUAAGCCAAAACUGCUGACACCUUUAUCAUUACGAGUGAAGAAAUUGAAGGACAAGAUUAAUUUACAGACGGCUCUGGGGUCCGAAUUAAAACCUAUUUGGGUACCAGCUGAGAAUAACAAAAAUAGAGCACUUGACAAACU